AUUCUAACUUUAGUACAAUGAAGUUGGCUUUUCUUAUCGUUUCUAUAUUGUCCUUCGUUGGUGUUUCCUUCAGUGCAAAGGAUCCAAGCUGCGUCCUUGAACUAAGUUAUAAGGGUCUUUGUAAAAUGAUUGCUUUUGGUUUUACUUAUGAUAAAACUAAUAACAAGUGUAUUCCCACGGAGGGACAGUGUCGUGGCAUUGGAAAUUUCUUUAGGGAAGAAAAUGAUUGUGUGUCUAAAUGCACAAAAUAAGAAAAUGAAUUCUUCAUCGAUAUUACGUUAUCAACUUCCAUUAUAUCAUCUGUAAUCUGUAAAAAAUGCGAAGACGUAACCAUAUAAAUCAUAUGUGUAUAACGAAAUAAAAAAUAUAACUUGAACUAACUUUUAUAUUAAUGUGAAUUGAUUUAUUUUAAAUUAAUUAAAGCCAAUUUUAAUUUUAUUUUUUCUUAUUAAUUCUGGUGACGAUGUUGUAUAAUUUUCUUACCAAAUGUAAGGCCAAAUGUUUGGUGUAAUAGUUAUACCAUAACGAAAUUAUUCAGUUAUAGUUAUUUAAUUUAUUAAAAGCCUUGUAAAACUAAUUUUUUUUUCAUCUUGUCACUGCAAUCCAUACUUUAGUAUAAUGAAGUUGGUUUUUAUAAUCAUUACUGUAUUAUCCUCUGUUGGUGUUUCCUUCGAAAAGGAUCCAAAGUGCGGCCUUA